rnacentral:lncRNA from 1 species
GGGCCCUGGUGAUGACACAGAGCCUAUUUGCAUAAGCCAGCACAGGAGUUAAGGCCAACCGAUUAGCAUUCUCAAUGCAACGCAACCUUAAUGCCUCCUCACCACACAACAUGCCACAUUCACUAGGCUCUGGGGGUGAGGACAUGAACAUCUUUGCAGCUGAAGGAGGAAUUAUUCUGUCCACCUCAGACAACCAUGGCAAAAAGUCUACCACUCUAGAGAAGUGAUCUCCAACAUUUUGGCACCAGGAACCAGCUUCAUGGAUGGCACCAGGAUGGUUUGGGAGGAUUCAAGCACACUGCAUAUAGGUCCCAGCUCUGAGGACAGUGACAAUGAGGAACACCAGUCGCUGCUUUUUGUCAAGAUUGAAAAAGCUUCCUUGUGCUGGCAGCCAAUGCAGAGAUUCACCAGGAGUGAGACAGAAAGAGAGAUACAGAGGCCCAGGACCUCCAGCCAUCCCCACAGCCCAGAUCCACCCUGGGCUUUCCAAGCGCUUGAGCCAAUAAAUCUCCUCUGCUCUUUAUUCCUCCUAAACUAAGUUUCUUUCACCGACAGCCAAGCAUUUACUAACAUGCUCAAGAAAUACCUGUUGGGGCCAGUCACAGCUUCCCAAACCCUGGCAUGUCUUCAAGAUCCCAGGUCUAAAAGGCCCUGGUUCUAAAUCAACGAUCGGGACCCCACAAGUUCCUGAUAGGUUUAAUACACUCU